rnacentral:rRNA from 1 species
AAUAUUGGUCAAUGGAGGCAACUCUGAACCAGCCAUGCCGCGUGCAGGAUGACGGUCCUAUGGAUUGUAAACUGCUUUUGUACAGGAAUAAAAAGAGUUACGUGUAGCCUAUUGACGGUACAGCAAGAAUUAGUAUCGGUUACCACCGUUCAAGCAUCCGCGGAAAUCGGGAUGAUCCAAGCGUUAUCCGGAAUCAUUGGGUUUAAAGUGUCCGUAGGCUGCCUUAUAAGUCAGCGGUGAAAGUUUUUGGCUUAACCAAAAAAUUGCCGUUGAUACUGUAGGGCUUGAAUUUUUGUGAAGUAACUAGAAUAUGUAGUGUAGCGGUGAAAUGCUUAGAUAUUACAUGGAAUACCAAUUGCGAAGGCAGGUUACUAACAAACGAUUGACGCUGAUGGACGAAAGCGUGGGUAGCGAACAG